rnacentral:tRNA from 1 species
CUCCGAGUAGCUCAGUCUGGUAGAGCGCCGCGUUCGGGACGCGGAGGUCGCAGGUUCGAACCCUGUCUCGGAGACCA